rnacentral:lncRNA from 1 species
GCCAUCCAAGACCACGGGAAAGAAAGCCAAAAGGCUGGAAAGGCUCAGAAAAGCGUUAUCAAGAAUAAAAAGGGGUGGAGAAUGAGACAGACCCUACAAUAAGACAGAGAUGUGAGUAUGAGCGGUCAGGAAGUGAAAAGCGGGCUACCAGUUAGAGCACGGGAAAGGUUGUAAAGAAAAAGGGAAAAGGGAAAGAGGUGUCGCGCAGGACACGGGAAAAAGGAUCCUUACCCAGGAUGAAGGAGGCGAGACUUGAGGUGUCGCACAGGGCACCAUGGAGGGGCAACAUCACGCAGGAUGAAGCUGACCUUAAAAUACUUAUAAAAGUAAAGGAGGGGUGCCGUGCAGGACACGCUGGAGAGGCCUCGCCACGCAGGACGAGCAGAAUAUAAAAAAAAAAGGUUAUGUGUAAAGCGGUGCACCUGGAGAAACAAAGAAAGAAUUAGAUUGGGUUGAAUGAGGCUGGAAAGAUACAAAUUACCCGCGUUACGCACUCAUGGCGCUGGGGCGAAGCCCAGGCAUGGUGAAGGAUGGUGAGGUGGUCGCGAAAAUCCAGGCUGGUGCCAACAAGCAGUAGCCAGUGCGGGUCGGAACGCCGGACCCAGGGGAGCGGGAGCCGCCCACGCGUGGACUGACGGGCGAGGCAUCGAAAGAUCCUCGGGUCCGGGACACUGUGUGGGGGGACUUCCAACCGAUCUGGAUCAGAGGCGCAGCCGGCGUGCGUGGGAGCACGCGUGAGCUCGGCCGACAGGCAGCACUGGGGCACAGGGGCGAUCUGG